rnacentral:rRNA from 1 species
UACGUAGGGUGCAAGCGUUGUCCGGAAUUAUUGGGCGUAAAGAGCUCGUAGGCGGUCUGUCGCGUCUGCUGUGAAAACUCAGGGCUUAACCCUGAGCUUGCAGUGGGUACGGGCAGACUAGAGUGCGGUAGGGGAGACUGGAAUUCCUGGUGUAGCGGUGAAAUGCGCAGAUAUCAGGAGGAACACCGGUGGCGAAGGCGGGAUCCUGGGCCAUUGCUGACACUGAGGCGCGAAAGCUGGGGGAGCAAACAGG